GAUGAACGCUGGCGGCGUGCCUAAUACAUGCAAGUCGAGCGAACAGAUGAGGAGCUUGCUCCUCUGACGUUAGCGGCGGACGGGUGAGUAACACGUGGAUAACCUACCUAUAAGACUGGGAUAACUUCGGGAAACCGGAGCUAAUACCGGAUAAUAUAUUGAACCGCAUGGUUCAAUAGUGAAAGACGGUUUUGCCGUCACUUAUAGAUGGAUCCGCGCCGCAUUAGCUAGUUGGUAAGGUAACGGCUUACCAAGGCAACGAUGCGUAGCCGACCUGAGAGGGUGAUCGGCCACACUGGAACUGAGACACGGUCCAGACUCCUACGGGAGGCAGCAGUAGGGAAUCUUCCGCAAAGGGCGAAAGCCUGACGGAGCAACGCCGCGUGAGUGAUGAAGGUCUUCGGAUCGUAAAACUCUGUUAUUAGGGAAGAACAAAUGUGUAAGUAACUAUGCACGUCUUGACGGUAUCUAAUCAGAAAGCCACGGCUAACUACGUG
rnacentral:rRNA from 1 species